CAAGGAAUUUUCCCCAAUGGGCGCAAGCCUGAGGGAGCAACGCCGCGUGCAGGACGACGGCCUUCGGGUUGUAAACUGCUUUUGCGUGGGACGAUAACGACGGUACCACGCGAAUCAGCCCCGGCUAACUCUGUGCCAGCAGCCGCGGUAAUACAGAGGGGGCAAGCGUUGUCCGGACUUACUGGGCGUAAAGCGCACGCAGGUGGUAACGCAAGUGGGGUGUGAAAGCCGCCAGCUCAACUGGCGGAGGCCAUCCCAAACUGCGUCACUUGAGGCCUGUAGAGGUAUGUGGAAUUGCCGGUGUAGUGGUGAAAUGCGUAGAGAUUGGGAAGAACACCAGUGGCGAAAGCGCUCUACUGGGCCGUAACUGACGCUCAGGGACGAAAGCUAGGGGAGCGAAAGGGAUUAGAUACCCCCGUAGUCC
rnacentral:rRNA from 1 species